CCUCCUGAACCCAUCUCACACCAGGGCUUCCGGUGAGGCCUCCGGAAACCAUAGAGACGCCACUGGAGGGCUAGAGAGGCAGAAAGACUGCCACCAUAGAGUAGAGGCCAGUCCGGGGAGAGAGUUGCAGGACUUGGAAGACUAAGUUGUGAAGUUUCAAGAGAAAACGUUUGAGGAGCUCGCAGAGUCUGAUGGUAUUUACAGAUGUGUCCUAGGACAUCAAAAAUCGAGGAUGGAAGAAACCUAAUAGCGUAGUCAGAGGAAGCCUUCCGCUCUUCCAAAAAACACCACUCCCUCUGUUUCUCAAAGUUAACGUAUUCAUUCUUAUUCCCCAGAGAUAGUGGCUGCAGAGGGCAAACGGCAUCUUAAUGUUGUCGCUAAUUGGGGGAAAUAGAACUAGGAUAUACACGAAUAACAGCAAGAUAUGUGAUAAAUGCUGGAAGAGGUGCAAAGAACGAGGGAGGUGGAGCUUCUUUGGAUCAGCAACCCGGUCAUCGAGUCCCAAUAUAAAAGCUCCUGCCACAAACCUCUCAGGUUGGCCGACUUCCACCUCAGAAGGUGCCAAAUGAUAAACAUUUGUUGAACACCUACUGUGUGCCAAACACCAACCUAGAAGAUUCCAAAACAAGUAACACCUGGAAUCUGUCUAGUGGAGGACUCAGACAGUCCAGGACAAAUUCCUAAAAGUGACAUUGCUGGGCCUGAACAACCACUCCUAAAGUGUUGAAAUUAGGCAGAUGGAUUAAGGGAGAGCAACACCAGCGAACAGAAAUUCUUUAAUGUUUCACCCUGAGCCCCAUGGUGGAUAAGUCUCAAAGCCGGCCCUAUAGCAGAAGGCAGUGCUCAGAUCACUGAUGGCAGUGGAAGAGAAGAGCCUCGAAUGCCAUGAUCAGUAAGACCUCUCUGCAGGCACGCUCAGCUUUCUUGUCUCUCUGGCUGGCAGGGCUUGUACCCCCAGGAUCACUGCUGGUGACUUCAUCCAGGGUUUGCAUCAUUUAAAAUUAUUUGGACGUCUUCAAGGGACCUGCGGGACAAUCACACUAUCCCUCUGCAGGGUCCUUUCUCCCAGUUUGUACUCUGCAGUUCAACCCAGUAGCUUCCCAGCAGCAUAUUUAUACUCUUCUCCUAGACUCUUUUCUUCUUUUCUGUUGUCGGGUCAGUUUUAGAACUGAUAUCCACGUGAUUAUCAAUAAUAAAAGAGACCUGAUGCCACCACAACGCUUCAAAAGUGAUGUACCUUGCCGUUCUCUUAAUCCUGGAUGUGUUGGAUUGAUUACAAAUCAAAGAAGCCUACGUAAUAAUGGCUAUUGGGCACAUAAAUACCUCUCAGUUCUGAAGUAGCUGCUAACGCUGCUGACAAGUACAUGACUCAGGUCUUCUGUUUCUCUUUGUUGUAUGAAUCGUGAGCUUUCUUGGGUUUAAAACGGUUUCACAAAAUGUAGAUGGAAGGAAGCGAUUACGCAAGGUUCUUUAUUCUUAU